rnacentral:rRNA from 1 species
AUUGAACGCUGGCGGCAUGCUUUACACAUGCAAGUCGAACGGCAGCGCGGGCUUCGGCCUGGCGGCGAGUGGCGAACGGGUGAGUAAUGCAUCGGAACGUGCCCAGUAGUGGGGGAUAGCCCGGCGAAAGCCGGAUUAAUACCGCAUACGACCUGAGGGUGAAAGCGGGGGACCGAAAGGCCUCGCGCUAUUGGAGCGGCCGAUGUCGGAUUAGCUAGUUGGUGGGGUAAAGGCUUACCAAGGCGACGAUCCGUAGCUGGUCUGAGAGGACGACCAGCCACACUGGGACUGAGACACGGCCCAGACUCCUACGGGAGGCAGCAGUGGGGAAUUUUGGACAAUGGGGGCAACCCUGAUCCAGCCAUGCCGCGUGCGGGAAGAAGGCCUUCGGGUUGUAAACCGCUUUUGUUCGGGAAGAAAUCCUCUGGGCUAAUACCCCGGGGGGAUGGCGGUACCGGAAGAAUAAGCACCGGCUAACUACGUG